UACGUAGGCAGCGAGCGUUGUUCGGAGUUACUGGGCGUAAAGGGUGUGUAGGCGGUUGUUUAAGUUUGGUGUGAAAUCUCCCGGCUCAACUGGGAGGGUGCGCCGAAUACUGAAUGACUUCGAGUGCGGGAGAGGAAAGUGGAAUUCCUGGUGUAGCGGUGAAAUGCGUAGAUAUCAGGAGGAACACCGGUGGUGUAGACGGCUUUCUGGACCGUAACUGACGCUGAGACACGAAAGCGUGGAUAGCAAACAGG
rnacentral:rRNA from 1 species